ACACGACUACAUUAGAUACCCCCUGUAGUCCUAGCCGUAAACGAUACUCGCUAGGUGUCGGCCACGGUGCGACCGUUGUCGGUGCCGUAGGGAAGCCGUGAAGCGAGCCACCUGGGAAGCACGGCCGCAAGGCUGAAACUUAAAGGAAUUGGCGGGGGAGCACAACAACGGGUGGAGCUUGCGGUUUAAUUGGAUUCAACGCCGGAAAUCUUACCGGGACCGACAGCAACAUGAAGGCCAAGCUGAAGACUUUGCCGGAUUAGCUG
rnacentral:rRNA from 1 species